AAGCAAAGCAAAACCUAUGAUUCUCACACUCACUCAAUAGACCAGCCACCACUCCUAAACCCUUGCAAAGCCCUAAAACAUCUCAGAUUGGAUUGCAAUGGCUUGGCGUUCUGGUUCUCUCUCUCGUUCCUUAAUGUCCACAGCUAGGGCUUCUCUCCGGCCGUCGGCACCGUCAUCCCUUCCCCGCCUCCGUCCGCCUCCAGUCACUGCCCCUCGCGUCCAGUCCCGCCGCUUUUCCAUGCCGGCUACCAGGAAUCUGGGGCAAUUGGGCUGCACACAAUCACUUUUACCUCUGCAAAGUACAAUGGCUAUUACCUGCAUGACGUCACACGUUGCUGUCAGUGCUCGUGCCUGUUGCGAGCUGUCCCAUGGUACCUUCCGUCGUUCUUGUCAAGAUCGCUAGUAGUCUCUUUGGAAUGGAAAAGAUGGGUGAUGCGCCAGGACAUUGAUCAUCUUCCAAUGGCGAGAGAAGAAUGCUGCAUAGUGAUCCUGAUUCCUGAGGUACGUGAGGAAGCUGUUGAACUUUCAUAGUUGCCUUUGAGGAUACGGGUGGCCAAUAAUUAUGAGUAGUGUUUUCUGCGAAGUAACAGUUGUUGGACUAUCGAAUUAGACUCAUCGGUUAUGUUAUUAUCAUCUGUGGUACUUAUUCAACACUGAAAACCAUUUUUCUCCCCAAAUCCGAACAACAUUCAGGAUUAGUUCUUUAUUCUUCUUGUAUCCAGCUUUGUUUAAUUGCUGUACAUUUUUGGUCU